rnacentral:rRNA from 1 species
GAUGAACGCUGGCGGCGUGCCUAAUACAUGCAAGUCGAGCGAACAGACGAGGAGCUUGCUCCUCUGACGUUAGCGGCGGACGGGUGAGUAACACGUGGAUAACCUACCUAUAAGACUGGGAUAACUUCGGGAAACCGGAGCUAAUACCGGAUAAUAUAUUGAACCGCAUGGUUCAAUAGUGAAAGACGGUUUUGCUGUCACUUAUAGAUGGAUCCGCGCCGCAUUAGCUAGUUGGUAAGGUAACGGCUUACCAAGGCAACGAUGCGUAGCCGACCUGAGAGGGUGAUCGGCCACACUGGUACUGAGACACGGUCCAGACUCCUACGGGAGGCAGCAGUAGGGAAUCUUCCGCAAUGGGCGAAAGCCUGACGGAGCAACGCCGCGUGAGUGAUGAAGGUCUUCGGAUCGUAAAACUCUGUUAUUAGGGAAGAACAAAUGUGUAAGUAACUAUGCACGUCUUGACGGUACCUAAUCAGAAAGCCACGGCUAACUACGU